CCCUUAGAUGUUCUGGGCCGCACGCGCGCUACACUGAUGCAUGCAACGAGUUCUAUCCUUGGCCGGAAGGCCUGGGUAAUCUGUGAACGUGCAUCGUGAUAGGGAUAGAUUAUUGCAAUUAUUAAUCUUGAACGAGGAAUUCCUAGUAAACGCAAGUCAUCAGCUUGCAUUGAUUACGUCCCUGCCCUUUGUACACACCGCCCGUCGCACCUACCGAUCGAAGGUAAUGAUGAGCCCUCAGGAUUGUGGCCUCGUCGCGUCAGCGUCUUGGCUGCGAGAAUCUGUGCAAAUCCCGACCUUUAGAGGAAGGUGAAGUCGUAACA
rnacentral:rRNA from 1 species